UGGGGAAUAUUGCACAAUGGGCGCAAGCCUGAUGCAGCCAUGCCGCGUGUGUGAAGAAGGCCUUCGGGUUGUAAAGCACUUUCAGCGAGGAGGAAGGGUUCAGUGUUAAUAGCACUGUUCAUUGACGUUACUCGCAGAAGAAGCACCGGCUAACUCCGUGCCAGCAGCCGCGGUAAUACGGAGGGUGCAAGCGUUAAUCGGAAUUACUGGGCGUAAAGCGCACGCAGGCGGUUUGUUAAGUCAGAUGUGAAAUCCCCGCGCUUAACGUGGGAACUGCAUUUGAAACUGGCAAGCUAGAGUCUUGUAGAGGGGGGUAGAAUUCCAGGUGUAGCGGUGAAAUGCGUAGAGAUCUGGAGGAAUACCGGUGGCGAAGGCGGCCCC
rnacentral:rRNA from 1 species